CCCUCCACAAGCAGCAACAGUGGUGUUUCAGGGCCAGCAACUGCCAGGUAUUCCUCAGAGCUUGUCACCACUCAAGCGUGCAGUUGUCCUUGCCAGGGGGAUUCUGGCUUGUAGAAUACAACCAGGCUGUGCAGCCUGCGUCACCCAGAUUCAUCCAAAGCAGACAACAAUGAUCUGCCUUUCCCUCAGUACAUUGGAGAUGCUCUGGAAAUCUCUGCGCUCAGUCAAAAUGCAUCCUUUGAAAUUAUAGAAGAUACAUCCUCAUAUCACCUGCUCCCCCACAUCCUUGGCACAGACUGCCUUCUACAGGGAAGACAGAAGAAAGACAAGUGA
rnacentral:lncRNA from 1 species